GGUUUGGGGCCGAGCCGUCGAGGGCACGGUUUCGAACACCGGAAUCACAUAUUCGCAGCACACCCUCUCUCUUUAUCAGUUUGAUUUGAAAUUAGGUUUUUAGUGGUGAUCGAUCAGCAACAAUCAUUUGAUGGCGGCAAUUUUGCACAUAAAAUUUUUCGUUUCCCCCUCUCUCUUUCAAACCGAUAUCAGAUCUAAUAUUAGCGGCAAUUACAUUAAAAAUUUAGUUUCCCUCUCCACUCUCAAACGGCGUAACCCAAUUCAACCGUAAGCGAGUGGUUCAACCACCAGAAGUUGUUCAAUCUCCUGUUGUGAGUGGUUCAAUCGAUGCUUCAACCCACCUUCAAUUCGUGUAAUCACCAUAUGAUAUACUGAAUUUGUCAACGUUUUUAACUUAUGCCAGCUUAAGGCCAGGCCUCAACGUAAGUUUAUGAGAAUGAAGGGGUAUUAUAAGAUCUCAAGAUGACAAGAUGAGGCUAAUAAGGACGAGGAGUAUGAAGACAUGGAUGAUAUGACAAGUUACAUUUUAUUUAGCAAAAUGACUUACUUAUUUUAUGAUUCUUUAGAUGCCUAUGUGCAAGUGAAAAUGAUGAUCUUUAAUGGAUUGAUAGUCAAAUGCCAUCCUAAUAGGUUCUCGUCUCAAAAUUCUUUUGGUGCCUGAGUGCCCCUUCUCUUCAGUCCCCUCUGCUUCUCGUUGCCGCCCUUUCUUUGCUAGACCGUCACUAGAACAUUAUUUGGUAGUAGCUGCCCCCACCGGUGUGUAGCUGAUUACUUGAAGAAGGCGGUUGGGUGCCUGCAGUUUUGGCUUCGUAGAAUGCUUAAAACUAAAGCGGUAGGAAGGUAGCAUGGAGAGGCCCACUUAGAAGAAUUUCCAAGUUUGAUCAGGGGUCCCAAGGUCGUUGACAAAAAUAAAGAGAUUUCUUCUCGCAACAAAUUCCUUGGCUUGCUGAAUAGAGAUGAUGAACAAAUGAAGAACUACAGAUAUUUAGAAGAAGAUGAAGUGAUUUGGUUGAUCCUUUUAUCCUUGUAAUGAACAAGGAGCAUGAUGGCUACAUUUGACUUUAUGAAGAGGUGUUGCUUUAAAAAUGAUGAACAAAAUGGGAGAUGUUGAGGAACCCACAUGAUUUCGGGUGGGCUUAACUAAUAAUUCAAAGCGAGCCUUGAAGUGAAAAAGACACAGUUGCUUGAAAUUCAAGAGAACCAUCAAUGAAAAAAAGCAAAGCUAGAAGCUAUAUAGAGAGAUUUUGACAACCAAUGAGCAAACUUUGAAACUACGAUGCAAAGUAUCAUUGAAAAACUAUCUAUUGGAGUACUUGAAGUUCUUAGAGAUGAGCAGGAGGUUUCCGUUACUUUUUAUCAUUGUUAUUUUGAUUAAAUUGUUAUUUUGAGUCUAGACGUAUUAUGAUAAAAGAUUAUCUAUUAUAUUUAUGUUAUUAUUGUGCUUGUGUAA